GACCUUGAGCCAGUGGGCUGUUUUCAUACUUCUCUUUCAUAGUUACUUAGUUGCGUUAACAUUGUCAAAAAGUAAAACAAAACUCCCAAGCCUAAAGCCUCCCCUGCUUUGAGACAGUCUCCCCAUCCUGACACCUGUGACCCUGAGUUCAUCUGCAUUAUUCCAACCCAUCUGGUGAAUGAGUUAAUGCUGAUUUUUGAUCAUCCAACAUGGUGUCAGCCUCCUUCAGCCUUCCAAGAGUCAUGAAGACACUGAAAAGUGAUGAAUCCACAUAACCAUGACACUGGAAAUGAAGUUUGAGUGGCAGUCAGAAUCUGGGAGGAAGCAUUGCUAAGUGAAAAUCUUAUGGAGCUUGACUAAAAAUCCCUGUCAGGAACCGUCAAAAGCUGUGUCCCUGACAUGAAAAAUCUUGCUGGAAGUUGAGAGAGGUUUAUGCCUACUCCGUGAUCCGGGAACACAAGACCUUUACCAACCAAAAAAGUGGAUAGCUGUUCUUCUGCUGUGAAGGUUAAUAAAGGCUAAAAGUUCAAGAAUAAGGCACCAGCAAGUUCAGUGUCUAGAAAGGACCCAGCGUUUGCUUCGAAGAUGGCGCCUUUCUGCUGCAUUCUCUGAAGAGGAUGGAUGCUGUGUCCUCACAUUGCAGAAGUCAGAAGGGGAAAAAGGGCCUAAGCUAGUUCCCUGUAGCCUUUUUGCAAGAACGCCAGAAGUGCCAAGCAAUUAACAACCCCAGAAGCAACCCUUAACCAAUGAUUAAAUAAAGUGGAUGAUUACAUACCCAAGCUCCUUCAACUCCCAGGGACAUAAUUCUGAGGGAUGGAAAACAAACUGAAACUGGCUCAAGUGAAUGCUCACUGGAAGGCUUACUGGAAAACUUACUGGAAGGAUGUGAGGACAUGUUCGGGAAUCUAUUUGCAGAAAACAUAUUCAGCCCUGUCCACCACAGCCAGCUGGCUGAAGAGCUCAAAAGGCAAGAAAUCAGCAAGAGAGAGAGAUGAAGCAUGAGAAAUGAGCAAAAAACACCCAGCACAUCAUAAUCUUGGACAGUUUAGCAGUACAUGAAAAUAGAUGGUCCUCGCCCCAAGGGACUGCAGUAACCCUGAAUAAACAGGAUGUCUCUCACUUUUAGCAGUUCUUUCUGUGCUAGUAUUGGGGAAAUAUAUUUUUGGCUGCAUGCAAAAUGGUAAAAGACAUCUAUUAAGAAAAUGAAAACAAUGCUUCUGUUUUAGACGAAGCUUUUGAAGGUUUAAGGAUCACCUAUUUAUUGACAAAAUUGUUUCCGUGGCUUAAAAAUAAAAUACAAACAAAUACUACAGGUAUUCUUGCCUUCUCAUUCUACUUAAAAUCACAUUUCCAAAGACUUUCUUCUCUACUUAAAAACAGGAAUUAAGAAAUACUCAAAAGAGAUCCUAGACAAAACUAACAUUUCAGCAACCAAAGAUAAAUCAUGCUUUUAGAGGAAGAUGCUAGGUUCUAGAAUCUCUCUGAACACCGUGUAGCACUAAGAAACUACAAUCACUGGCUGAGACCUUGAUCAAAUAAUGGCUAACAUAUAAGAUGCUUAUUCUAGUCAGGCACACUUCUAAGAGCUGUAUAUCUGCUAAUUCAUUUAUUCUCCUAGGAUAUAAAGGAUCAGCAGAUCCUUCAGGCUCUGGUAUGUUCUGAGAUGAGUUAACCCAGAAAUUGUCAUCAAAAGACAGAUUCAGCAAAACGGAAA
rnacentral:lncRNA from 10 species